GUCACACUUCCAACAUGCCCACGGGGAAAA
rnacentral:piRNA from 1 species